rnacentral:rRNA from 1 species
UACGGGAGGCCUACACAUGCAAGUCGAGGGGUAACGGAAGUAGCUUGCUACUAGGCGACGACCGGCGCACGGGUGAGUAACGCGUAUGUAAUCUGCCUUGUACAGAGGGAUAGCCCAGAGAAAUUUGGAUUAAUACCUCAUAGUAUUACUGGAUCGCAUGAUUUGGUAAUUAAAGCUCCGGCGGUACAAGAUGAACAUGCGUGACAUUAGCUAGUUGGUAAGGUAACGGCUUACCAAGGCUACGAUGUCUAGGGGUUCUGAGAGGAUGAUCCCCCACACUGGUACUGAGACACGGACCAGACUCCUACGGGAGGCAGCAGUGAGGAAUAUUGGUCAAUGGACGCAAGUCUGAACCAGCCAUCCCGCGUGAAGGAUGACUGCCCUAUGGGUUGUAAACUUCUUUUAUAUGCAAAUAAACCUACUUUCGUGAAAGUAGCUGAAGGUAGCAUAUGAAUAAACACCGGCUAACUCCGUGCCAGCAGCCGCGGUAAUACGGAGGGUGUAAGCGUUAUCCGGAUUUAUUGGGUUUAAAGGGUACGUAGGCGGUAAUAUAAGUCAGUGGUGAAAUCCUGCAGCUCAACUGUAGAACUGCCAUUGAAACUGUA